ACAUAGGCAUUUUUCAAUGCCACAUCAGGAUACUAUUAAAAAAAGG
rfam:Nelumbo nucifera unplaced genomic scaffold scaffold00079, whole genome shotgun sequence